rfam:Aedes aegypti strain Liverpool supercont1.9 genomic scaffold, whole genome shotgun sequence.
CAAAAGGCCCUUUUCAGGGCCACUAUUUCAAUCAUAGAAAAGAGUU